rnacentral:rRNA from 1 species
UACGUCGGGUGCAAGCGUGAAUCGGCCUUACUGGGCGUAAAGCGCACGCAGGCGGUCUGUCAAGUCGGAUGUGAAAUCCCCGGGCUCAACCUGGGAACUGCAUUCGAAACUGGCAGGCUUGAGUCUCGUAGAGGGGGGUAGAAUUCCAGGUGUAGCGGUGAAAUGCGUAGAGAUCUGGAGGAAUACCGGUGGCGAAGGCGGCCCCCUGGACGAAGACUGACGCGCAGGUGCGAAAGCGUGGGGAGAACACAGGAUGAGAUACCCGCGUAGUCC